AAACCGCAAACAGCUCAUUAAAUCAGUUAUGGUUCCUUGGAUUUAAGUUAUCAUACUUGGAUAACUGUGGUAAUUCUAGAGCUAAUACAUGCAACUAAGCUCCGACCUUACGGGAAGAGCGCUUUUAUUAGAUCAAGACCAAUCGGGGUAUAUCCUCGUUUGCUUGGUGACUCUGAAUAACCUUAUGCUGAUCGCACGGUCAAGCACCGGCGACAUAUCUUUCAAAUGUCUGACUUAUCAACUGUCGAUGUGAUGCUAUGAGCCUCACAUGGUCGUCACGAGUGACGGGGAAUCAGGGUUCGAUUCCGGAGAGGGAGCCUGAGAAACGGCUACCACAUCCAAGGAAGGCAGCAGGCACGCAAAUUACCCACUCCCGGCACGGGGAGGUAGUGACGAAAAAUAACAAUACGAGACUCAUCCGAGGCCUCGUAAUUGGAAUGAGUAGAAUUUAAAAGAGUAUACGAAUAUCUAUUGGAGGGCAAGUCUGGUGCCAGCAGCCGCGGUAAUACCAGUUCCAAUAGCGUAUAUUAAAAUUGUUGCGGUUAAAAAGCUCGUAGUUGGACUUUGGUCUCGGACAGUCGGUUUCACUUGCCGGUGUACACUGACUGGUCCGGACGUACUGCCGGUUCGUCCUCGGUGCUCUUCACUGAGCGUCUUGGGUGGCCGGCACGUUUACUUUAAACAAAUUAGAGUGCUUAAAGCAGGCUCUAUGCCUGAAUAAUGGUGCAUGGAAUAAUGGAAUAGGACUUCGGUUCUGUUUUGUUGGUCUUAAGAACUUGAGGUAAUGAUUAACAGAGACAGACGAGGGCAUACGUAUUGUAACGGGAGAGGUGAAAUUCUUGGAUCGUUACAAGACGAACAAAGGCGAAAGCAUUUGCCCAGAAUGUCUUCAUUAAUCAAGAACGAAAGUUAGAGGCUCGAAGGCGAUUAGAUACCGCCCUAGUUCUAACCAUAAACGAUGCCAGCCAGCGAUCCGCCGAUGUUACUUGAUGACUCGGCGGGAAGCUUCCGGGAAACCAAAGCUUUUGGGUUCCGGGGGAA
rnacentral:rRNA from 1 species